UACGAAGGGGGCUAGCGUUGCUCGGAAUCACUGGGCGUAAAGGGCGCGUAGGCGGAUCUUUAAGUCGGGGGUGAAAGCCCGGGGCUCAACCCUGGAAUUGCCUUCGAUACUGAAGAUCUCGAGACCGGAAGGGGUAAGUGGAACUGCGAGUGUAGAGGUGAAAUUCGUAGAUAUUCGCAAGAACACCAGUGGCGAAGGCGGCUUACUGGUCCGGUUCUGACGCUGAGGCGCGAAAGCGUGGGGAGCAAACAGG
rnacentral:rRNA from 1 species